AGUGAACGCUGGCGGUAGGCCUAACACAUGCAAGUCGAACGGCAGCACAGGACAGCUUGCUCUCUGGGUGGCGAGUGGCGGACGGGUGAGGAAUACAUCGGAAUCUACUCUGUCGUGGGGGAUAACGUAGGGAAACUUACGCUAAUACCGCAUACGACCUACGGGUGAAAGCAGGGGACCUUCGGGCCUUGCGCGAUUGAAUGAGCCGAUGUCGGAUUAGCUAGUUGGCGGGGUAAAGGCCCACCAAGGCGACGAUCCGUAGCUGGUCUGAGAGGAAGAUCAGCCACACUGGAACGGAGACACGGUCCAGACUCCUACGGGAGGCAGCAGUGGGGAAUAUUGGACAAUGGGCGCAAGCCUGAUCCAGCCAUACCGCGUGGGUGAAGAAGGCCUUCGGGUUGUAAAGCCCUUUUGUUGGGAAAGAAAUCCAGCUGGCUAAUACCCGGUUGGGAUGACGGUACCCAAAGAAUAAGCACCGGCUAACUUCGUGCCAGCCGCCGCAGUAA
rnacentral:rRNA from 1 species